rnacentral:rRNA from 1 species
GAUGAACGCUGGCGGCGUGCCUAAUACAUGCAAGUCGAGCGAACGGACGAGAAGCUUGCUUUUCUGAUGUUAGCGGCGGACGGGUGAGUAACACGUGGAUAACCUACCUAUAAGACUGGGAUAACUUCGGGAAACCGGAGCUAAUACCGGAUAAUAUUUUGAACCGCAUGGUUCAAAAGUGAAAGACGGUCUUGCUGUCACUUAUAGAUGGAUCCGCGCUGCAUUAGCUAGUUGGUAAGGUAACGGCUUACCAAGGCAACGAUGCAUAGCCGACCUGAGAGGGUGAUCGGCCACACUGGAACGGGGACACGGUCCAGACUCCUACGGGAGGCAGCAGUAGGGAAUCUGCCGCAAUGGGCGAAAGCCUGACGGAGCAACGCCGCGUGAGUGAUGAAGGUCUUCGGAUCGUAAAACUCUGUUAUUAGGGAAGAACAUAUGUGUAAGUAACUGUGCACAUCUUGACGGUACCUAAUCAGAAAGCCACGGCUAACUACGUG